rnacentral:rRNA from 1 species
UACAGAGGUCCCAAGCGUUGUUCGGAUUCACUGGGCGUAAAGGGUGCGUAGGCGGUCGGGUAAGUCUGACCUGAAAUCUUCAAGCUCAACUUGGAAACUGCGUCGGAUACUAUUCGGCUCGAGGAAUGGAGGGGAGACUGGAAUACUUGGUGUAGCAGUGAAAUGCGUAGAUAUCAAGUGGAACACCAGUGGCGAAGGCGAGUCUCUGGACAUUUCCUGACGCUGAGGCACGAAAGCCAGGGGAGCAAACGGG